rnacentral:SRP_RNA from 1 species
GGUUAUUAAUAAUUCUAUUAAUUUAAAAAAAUGGUCAGGUCUGGAAGGAAGCAGCCAAAUUAAAGGAUAUAGGUUUUAUUAAUACUUCUA